rnacentral:rRNA from 1 species
UACGAAGGGGGCUAGCGUUGCUCGGAAUUACUGGGCGUAAAGGGCGCGUAGGCGGAUACUUAAGUCGGGGGUGAAAGCCCGGGGCUCAACCUCGGAAUUGCCUUCGAUACUGGGUAUCUUGAGUUCGGGAGAGGUGAGUGGAAUGCCGAGUGUAGAGGUGAAAUUCGUAGAUAUUCGCAAGAACACCAGUGGCGAAGGCGGCUCACUGGCCCGAUACUGACGCUGAGGCACGAAAGCGUGGGGAGCAAACAGG